rnacentral:lncRNA from 1 species
UCGCUGGCAUCUCUCUGGCUCUGCGCGCCUUGCGCUCUCUCGCUGCCUAAAGAUGUAACAAUAGGACUCGGCGCUCUGGCGCGCCCUCGCUCUCCCGCGCGCUCUGGCGCUCUGGCCCCAUAAAGAUGUAAGCAAUAAAGCUUUGCCGCAGAAGAUUCUGGUUGUUGUGUUCUUCCUGGCCGGGUGUGAGAGAACGCGUUUGUAACAGUUCCUGUUGCAGAGGAUCCAGGACCCUCCAGAGUCUCACCUGUUGAAGAUGAAAGAGAAGCAUCGCAUUCUUGGGCAACAGCGCCGCCUGGUGGAAGAAACAAAGAGGACAGCGUCUGAACCCACAGAGCUGAGGGUAAAGGGGAUCCAGGCUGCUGAGCUGCCCCAGGGCCUCCUUCCUAUCUGCACUUCUCCAGGGCUCUCAGGUCUCAGGCCGCCCUGCUCUCAUCAAACUACAUCCAGAAGAACUUUACGUGCUUUUCCAGCCGUGGGAAGAAAACUCCCUGUAAGAGGGGAGGCAGGAGGCAGAGCCAUGGGUGCUAAAAGGAGCUGCAAAGCCCCAGAGAGCAGUUCCAGAACUCGGACAGGGACCAUGGUGAUGAUUCUUUGAUGUCAGCUACAUGUGGGGUUAACUAAAACCUCAAAAUGGAGGGCAGCAUCUGUGAGGUGUUUUUGCUUAAUUUGAAGUGUGAAAAUCAAUUUCUGAUCCUUUUCUUUGAGGUAGGAAGA